rnacentral:rRNA from 1 species
CACGUAGGAGGCAAGCGUUAUCCGGAUUUACUGGGCGUAAAAUGGCGUGCAGGCGGUUCGGUAAGUUGGAUGUGAAAGCUCCCGGCUCAACUGGGAGAGGUCGUUCAAUACUGCCGGACUAGAGGACGGUAGAGGGAGGUGGAAUUCCCGGUGUAGUGGUGAAAUGCGUAGAUAUCGGGAGGAACACCAGUGGCGAAGGCGGCCUCCUGGGCCGUUCCUGACGCUCAGACGCGAAAGCAUGGGGAGCGAACGGGAUUAGAAACCCCGGUAGUCCAUGCCGUAAACGAUGCGGACUUGGUGUUGGCGGUGUAAAAACCGUCAGUGCCGUAGCUAACGCGAUAAGUCCGCCGCCUGGGGACUACGACCGCAAGGUUAAAACUCAAAGGAAUUGACGGGUUCCCGCACAAGCAGCGGAGCGUGUGGUUUAAUUCGAUGCUACGCGAAGAACCUUACCUGGGCUUGACAUACAGGUGGUAGGGAUCCGAAAGGUGACCGACCCUUCGGGGAGCCUGUACAGGUGCUGCAUGGCUGUCGUCAGCUCGUGUCGUGAGAUGUCCGGUUAAGUCCGUUAACGAGCGCAACCCUUGCCGUAUGUUACAUGUUGUCAUACGGGACUGCCGAUGUAAAGUCGGAGGAAGGCGGGGAUGACGUCAAGUCAGCAUGGCCUCUAUGUCCAGGGCUACACACACGCUACAAUGGCCGGUACAAUGGGUUGCAAAGCCGCGAGGUGGAGCCAAUCCCCAAAGCCGGUCUCAGUUCGGAUUGCAGGCUGCAACUCGCCUGCAUGAAGNUGG